rnacentral:miRNA from 1 species
AUAGUCAAUUUUAUCGGUCUG